GCCAGCAGCAUACCACACUGCAUCCCACUGCUGGCUUGCUUCUGAAGCUAAGCAGGGUUGGUCCUGGUCAGUCCCUGGAUGGGAGACCAGAUGGUGUUGGAGGACCAGUAGGAGGCAGGCU
ensembl:rRNA 5S_rRNA 5S ribosomal RNA